ACUACGGGGUGCUGCAGUGAGGAAUAUUGGUCAAUGGGCGCGAGCCUGAACCAGCCAAGUAGCGUGAAGGAUGACUGCCCUACGGGUUGUAAACUUCUUGUAUAAAGGAAAAAAGUGAGGCACGUGUGCCUUUUUGUAUGUACUUUAUGAAUAAGAAUCGGCUAACUCCGUGCCAGCAGCCGCGGUAAUACGGAGGAUCCGAGCGUUAUCCGGAUUUAUGGGGGUUAAAGGGAGCGUAGAUGGGUUGUUAAGUCAGUUGUGAAAGUUUGCGGCUCAACCCUAAAAUUGCAAUUGAAACUGGCAGCCUUGAGUACAGUUGAGGUAGGCUGAAUU
rnacentral:rRNA from 1 species